rnacentral:lncRNA from 1 species
CAGCCUGCCGUCCUGCCCCGCAGCCCGAGGCCCAUGAGGUGAGGCAGCCGCCCCUCCUCUCCUGACGAGGGAGCUGGAGAAGAAGCUGCGGGACCAAAGGCUGCUGCAGGAUGAGAUACUGUGCUGCUGCUGUGUUUGGUGGUUGAAGAAGGGGUGUGCUGGGAAGAGGACUUAGUGUUGAGAGUGCUCGAUCUAGAACAGGACAAGCUUGGGCUGCACCGGUGUGUUUGCUGUUGCUGAAUUUUUCCGGGGCAUUGCAGAUGCGGAGGAGUUUUUCUGGGGCGAUCUGCUUGUUCCCGGCCACGCUGGUGUCAACUACCUCGAGCCACUAUGACCACCCCCAACCACGCUCACCCCCCGUAAGUCAUGUGUUUCUCCUACCAGAUCAAAAAAAUCGUCAAUUUUUGGAGUACAGUUGUGUAUCAGAUCCGUUCAUGAUUUAAAUUGUGGUCUCCUAAACAUGUGAUUUGUGAAAUGUUUAGGAACAAAUUGUUUGUUGAUCAGCAAAGGGGGAUUCAAUUAAUUUUCAAUUGUAGAAGAAGGGAGAAGGAGGAUUCAAUUGAUUUUCCUCCUCAUGAUCAAAAGAAAAAAAAUAUCUUUGCCGUGAUGAUAGACGGGGUUCAUGUUAAUACACAGACUACUGGUAAGGGCAUUAAAACUUAUAUCUGCUGUGAAAUGGUCGUAUAUGCUUGAUUAGGAUAUUUUCAAGUGUUGUAGGUGUAAGGCUGUGGGAAAACGUUAUCAUGGUCUAAUUUUCCAGUCAAUAUAUGGCACAUCAGAAUUUCUGGUCCACUAAUGCCCCUCCAUUCAUUUCUAAUAUAGGGAACAAUAAACAAUUCUAGAUGGAAAGCACCUGACUUGUGAAACCUAGCGCCGCCAGUUUCCCUGCCAUGUAUUGCCGUCACCGGAGGGGCCGACCGACGAAGCUUGGCUGGC